rnacentral:rRNA from 1 species
UACGUAGGGUGCGAGCGUUAAUCGGAAUUACUGGGCGUAAAGCGUGCGCAGGCGGUUCGUUAUGUCCGAUGUGAAAGCCCCGAGCUCAACUUGGGAAUGGCAUUGGAAACUGGCGGGCUGGAGUGUGGCAGAGGGGGGUGGGAUUCCACGUGUAGCAGUGAAAUGCGUAGAGAUGUGGAGGAACACCGAUGGCGAAGGCAGCCCCCUGGGCUGAGAUUGACGCUGAGUGCACGAAAGCGUGGGGAGCAAACAGG